CCCCGCCCCGCCCCGCCCUUCGGAGUCCAGCCAGCCUCGCGCCUGCGAGCGGGCCCGUGAGGGUUGCUCGGAGCUGCUGACGGAUCUCGGGGACCGCAGCGCCCGGACGCCGGACACACUCUCCGGCCCGAGGACAAGGUUUGGGGGACAAGCAUGCAUUUUCGCACACUGGACUUUUUCUUACCGUUUUCCAAGUAUUAGUGGUUUCCUGCAAGACGCACCUUCCCGAAAUAGUGCGGUGCUUUAGCGUGACGUUCCUCCCGUGCCAAGCGAUGUAUUAAACUUGGACCUUCUAAGCUACCCCGUUCUUGAUCGCGCCAAGCUCUUCAUAGGCUCGUUAUACCGUGGCUCGUUAGCAGACAAACAAACAGCUAUCCUAAUUCCUUUGAGGAAAACUGGCCCGCGCAGACUCCCCAGAUGUCAAUUCGAAGAAUGUCGACCACCUUUUAGGAUUCCUAGGGGAAGACUUUGAAGCUCAAGUUGCAAGCUUGGGAGAAAUACUUUCCUUAGAGACGUUUGGGUACAAGCUUUGCCAGGUCACGAGCAACACAAAGGACGCCUCCGGAGCCACGUCUUAAUUUCCUGUUGAAUGAUAGGUGCCAGUACGGUUUUGAACCGGAAAUGAAAAUCGACUCAGAUGAAAACUUCAAGUUUUAGAAUGCUGAUUAGUCAGAAAACAAACAGAAUCUGGAAACGAUGCCUUUUCUGUUACCAAAGUACGUGCUCCCAGACCUAAAUUCUGUGUCAGAUCCUAACCCCGGGUGGUCACAGCGACAGUCUUCGUGGGCCCGUGAAUCACACUGAAGAAGCUGGACAGUUCCUGCUAAUGGGCCUUUCUCUCCUGUGGCUAAUGUCCUCUGAGCUAAAAUCAGCUCCUCUCUUUGGAAAACCUUGCAACAGAAGGAGGAUGGACCCCACCCAGAAACUGGUUCUGAUGUUGAGACGGAUGACGCCACCAUCACGCCAAGUGGUGACAGCAGCCCAGCUCGGUGGACCAGACAUUGGCCAGCGGCUGCCAGGACUUUCCUCUUCCCUCUACAGGGUGAACUUGGACGGAAGCAUCUGCACCAAUCCAUAGAGUGGGGACCACCCUGCCAGCCGUGGGCUCAGGCGCCAGGCCCCAGCCAUGAAAGUUCUUGCCUCCAAGCACCUGUCAUCCAGGUGGGGAGGGAAAGUGGAGACGGAUGACUGAUCUUCUCCUCUGGGCCAGACGGGAAUCCAGGAAGCGACUUCCUUCCUGUCCUCCACCGCCCGGCUCCUUCUUCUAGUCCGAGUUGUGCUUACUCUUUUUGUCACCCUCUUAUGUGUGUCUUAAGCACAUAUAUCUCCAUUUUUUCCUCUUUAAAUUUUUUAUGUUAACACAAUGUUGCCACCUCCUUCCCCCAGUUCUCUGCCCAGCCAGUCAAUGGUUUUGAAUCCCUCAUGCGUCCAUUUCUGCUCGCUAGUUAUUCUUCAUGGAAACGGUAUGAACAGAUCAGUAAAAAUCACAGCGGCCGUUUUGUUCAAUUCAUCAUGACAAGUUACAUUGGCCAUGUUUCAUAGCUUAGUGAUAGAACGUUUUGGUUGUGGAGUUUCUCCAGAGCUCUCCCAUACCUUUUUUCAUAUAGUUAAAAUUCCUAAUCAACUAUACCUCAAUAAAAUUUAAAAAAAAUUUAAAAAUGUAAGACUCCUUGACUUCUGUGAAGGCGGCGUAUUUUGGACCCGCAUUUUGCAGACAUGGAAGCGACGGCCCAGGGCAUCGCCAGCACGUUCGUCGCGAGGCUGGGCUGGGAGCUGGGGCUUCGGACUCCUUGUCUCCUGCCCACGUGUAUUCAGCGCGCUCGGAAGGACGGAAGAGGCUGCUGCCUUGGGGAGCCGUGUUCAACUCACGUGCGUAUUCCAGACACAGCUGUCGCUUCUGCAAAAAUGGUCGAGAGGUUGACUCUUGAGCUGCCGGCCACCCACCGUGGUGGGAGGAUGCGAUUUGAGCCGGGCUGCUCGCCUUCGGGAAGCCGCGUCUACAUCCGCAGCACCGCGGGGCGAGGCAGGAGGUAGGGUUUCCAGGACGGUUGGCAAGAGUCGUGCCUCGUAUUUCCCAGAGAACGCGCACUGCUGUAAAGGGAGAAAUAGUUGGUUUUUCUCCAGCUGCUGAGCUGUGAAGAAGCGAGAAGCUCUGUCUCCAGGGCAGGACCGUCCUCGGAGAAAACAGGGGAGCCCCGCCUCAGCACAGACGAGAAAACUGGGCGAGCGCACCUGCCCUGCGUCACGGGCUGCUCUUCCGCUGGUCCUUCUGGGGCCUCGCUGCCUAGAGAGGCCGCAGGCUCCAAGCCAGAGAUGGCCUCUCACCACGUCCUGCCAUACAUAGAGCAAAGCGUCAUCUUCCUGCGGCCGUUCCAUGUAACGGGAAUGUGCUGGGAAGCAGCAGUCUCACAACUUCCCCUUGGUUCCUAACAACAUUAAAAAGAAAAACGCUGGUGUGUCUGGAAGCAAUUUCGGAGGCCUCUGGAUGCGGCAGGUGUCAGUGAUUGGCUGUCAGGUUGUCAUUUACAAGACAGUUCACUGAGUAAGUGAUUCCAAGGGGCUCAGGAACCAGACCCAGGACGGCACAUGAGGCCCCAUCCUGCAGUUGGAGCUGAACCUUGAGUCAUUUGCUUGAUGGAAUUUUUUCUUUCCCUAGAAACAGGAAAUAGAGUCUCAGCUUUCUCCCUAAGCCUCAGGCAACAGGGCUCGUGCAGGAAGUCCCCUUCUCUCCUCGUCCGGCAAACAAAGGUGCACACACGUCCCCGAGCUCUGCAGACACAGCUCUGCUUUCCGCCGCCGGGUCCCUGGAUCCCUGUCCCCUCCCCUGGGCUGGUCCCAGCAUAAAUCUCCACAUCUCGGGGUCACUCCCCCUCUGCACACAGGCUGCUUUGCAAGUGGGAGAAAGGGUCCACAGAACUGGAUAUAAAUUUCCGUGGGAACAGAUGGGUGGUGUGUUUGCACACAAACCUGUACGUAUCACAAACCAACCCAGAGAGACGGGGACCUAGGCGAUGCAUAAAACUUCUUGCCAGCAACGCUGUCAGCUUCAUAAAGCUUCAGUUCGCUACCCUGACAGCCUGAAAUGUCUCCCUUAUUCCUGGAGGGAGCACAGGGUCCCAGGUGAGGUCACAGCGCAGCUGCACCAGCCCCUUCCAUAGGGUGGACGGAUGGCACCCUGAAAUGCUUUCCUGAGCCACCUGUCCUGCCCAGGACCCCUCUGAGCACUGAAGCAGUCAACCAGUAAGAGAUUCACAGCGCAGGGCAGGGUAGACACCUCGGGCACCCGUGGCAGCCCAGCCCUUGCACUUGCAGGGGAGGCCCAAGGCCGGGGAAAAGCCACCAGUUAUCUCUGGAAAUGGCCAGCCUGUUUUUCAGUUCUCCCUUUGAGUGCUUGCUAGAACAGCAUCUUAGAAGUGUGUUAAGGCCGCUGCCAUCCUAGCAGCGUAGACAGGGGCAUGAAUGCUGCUUUCAAAUGAAGCCCAGCUGGGAAUCAGUAUUGUCGUCCCCGGAGAUCUGAUUCCCAGCAGCUCCAACUGGUCCCAUUAUGCCAAUCACCUCAUCUCCUUUCUGUUUUCCUCACUGCCUUCCUCUCUUUAUGAGUUUGUUCCCCUUUGGGAGUAAUCUCCAAAAUCCUCAGUUGUUUUCAGAAUACUUUAAAAUUUUUUUAUUUUAUAUUGGGGCAUGGUUGAUUGGAACGAUGUUGUUAGUUUCAGGUGUACAGCA